rnacentral:rRNA from 1 species
AUUGAACGCUGGCGGCAGGCCUAACACAUGCAAGUCGAGCGGAUGACGGGAGCUUGCUCCUUGAUUCAGCGGCGGACGGGUGAGUAAUGCCUAGGAAUCUGCCUGGUAGUGGGGGACAACGUUUCGAAAGGAACGCUAAUACCGCAUACGUCCUACGGGAGAAAGCAGGGGACCUUCGGGCCUUGCGCUAUCAGAUGAGCCUAGGUCGGAUUAGCUAGUUGGUGAGGUAAUGGCUCACCAAGGCGACGAUCCGUAACUGGUCUGAGAGGAUGAUCAGUCACACUGGAACUGAGACACGGUCCAGACUCCUACGGGAGGCAGCAGUGGGGAAUAUUGGACAAUGGGCGAAAGCCUGAUCCAGCCAUGCCGCGUGUGUGAAGAAGGUCUUCGGAUUGUAAAGCACUUUAAGUUGGGAGGAAGGGCAGUAAGUUAAUACCUUGCUGUUUUGACGUUACCGACAGAAUAAGCACCGGCUAACUCUGUGCCAGCAGCCGCAGUAAUAC